ensembl:lncRNA
GUGGGGAAGAGCUGCAGCCAUAAUGGUGUGGAGCAGGGGGCAGCUGUAGGUUGAACGUGCCUGCUCUGGAGCAUCAAAGUGGGUUCUGGCUGUCCAAGUUUAGAAUCUUCCCCUUUCCUCAUUGUGGUUACUGCAAGCUCAGUUCUGUUGCCUAAAUAGAGGUGCCCUAAAACCAGGCCAUUUCAGAGGACUCAGAGUAUCAGGAACAUCUGCUCAGGUCUGGCAAAUGUGGGCCAAGCCUUAUGGGAGACCCACACACUGAUUGGCAGGCAGGCAGCCAGCAGAUGAGAGAUCUUACCGAGGGACUGUGUGGCUAAGUCAGAACAACAGAAUGGAGCUCUGUGUCUGAACUUGGAAAUGGAUUCCUCUCUCAGCCCCGUGUUUUAGCUGGUGGUCUCAAAGCCCUCUGCAGUAAGCAGAGAAAGACAUGUCCAGGGUCACUUGCCUUAGACAUUUACUUUAGCAUGGAGUCAACCUUUCUGCACAAAAACCUCACCCAUCCUGUGCUGGCUAGAGAGAGAAUAUAUACAAAAGGCUGACAGUAAAUAUCUGAUAUUAAACAGGAAAGAGGAAGAGAUAAAAAUUACUUCUACAGUAUAUAUUAUAAUUUUGACACAAUGUCUUCUUCCCUCUGUAUUGGUUCUGAAAGUUUCUUUUCAACUCAGUAGAUCAUCUUUAAAUGUCAAUGAGAAUAAAUGUGAAGAAGUCCAAAGAGACUGCAACCCACUGAUGUUACAGGAGCUCUGUGCAGUAAGAUGCCAGGCUGUUCUGCUUUGGCAGUGACAUGGUCUUCUGUUGGUAAUGCCUUGAUACAGCUUCUGGGCAAUUAUAACAGAACCACAUUCCAGUUCCAAAUCCUUCUGCCUAUAUAUUCUUAUGCAGGCUAUGUGAAAAUGAAACUGGCCAGUCUCGGUCCUGUACUUACUGUUUUUCACUCUCUUUUUGAGAAAAUCUGUACAGGACAAGCAAGUUCUCCCACAUAAGCUGGUCUGACUUCAGCCCAGGUGAACGCUACUUUUUUGUUUUGUUGCUAUCAGAUACAAUAUUAUUACAAUACAAUAUUAUUACAAUACAAUUUAAAAAGCAUGGAUGGUUCUCAUCUUGUAAUAAAUUUGAAAACAUGAAAUGCUUUGUCGUCUUCUGAAAUCUACGGGUAGAUAGGAAGGGUUGCUCCUUGCUUUUUUUGCCUUUUUCAAGUACAGAGACACCUGACCUAGUUUUUGAUUCCUGCUAGACUGUACUGUGGUCUUAUUCCUCCUGUAGAACUGAGAACCAUACCUGGAAGAUUAGACUUUGUUUUAUGGUUUAUUACAUGGGGGAAAACAAG